rnacentral:rRNA from 1 species
AUUGAACGCUGGCGGCAUGCCUUACACAUGCAAGUCGAACGGUAACAGGUCUUCGGAUGCUGACGAGUGGCGAACGGGGGAGUAAUACAUCGGAACGUGCCCGAUCGUGGGGGAUAACGAAGCGAAAGCUUUGCUAAUACCGCAUACGAUCUACGGAUGAAAGCAGGGGACCGCAAGGCCUUGCGCGAACGGAGCGGCCGAUGGCAGAUUAGGUAGUUGGUGGGAUAAAAGCUUACCAAGCCGACGAUCUGUAGCUGGUCUGAGAGGACGACCAGCCACACUGGGACUGAGACACGGCCCAGACUCCUACGGGAGGCAGCAGUGGGGAAUUUUGGACAAUGGGCGAAAGCCUGAUCCAGUCAUGCCGCGUGCAGGAUGAAGGCCUUCGGGUUGUAAACUGCUUUUGUACGGAACGAAAAGACUCUGGUUAAUACCUGGGGUCCAUGACGGUACCGUAAGAAUAAGCACCGGCUAACUACGUG